CCUCAACACAUCAUUCAUCGUAUAUAUUACCGGCAAAUUAGUUGCUAACUGCAGCUAAAAAGUUAAAUCAACUGGUUAAUAACCUACUCAGCUCUUUUGUUUGUGACUCUUGCGCAGAGGAUAACAAUCAAAGACGGUUGUCUAAACGCUUGGUGCCAUGGAAUAGCCGGAUAUAAAUGCUGCUCAGGGUUCGCAUGCUCCUCAUACUUCUCUCAAGGAAAAUGUCUUUACAAUGGACCGGAAUGUUAUCCCGGAUAAUUAAACUACUAAAGUACAUUGCGAGUUAACAAUUUUUUUAAAAUUUCAAAUUUUUUUCGAGAUUAAAAUUUAAAAAAUAUUCUAUUCAA